rnacentral:misc_RNA from 1 species
GAUGAAGAACGCAGCGAAAUGCGAUAAGUAAUGCGAAUUGCAGAAUUCAGUGAGUCAUCGAAUCUUUGAGCGCACAUUGCGCCCUGUGGUAUUCCGCAGGGCAUGCCUGUUCGAGCGUCAUUUCAACCCUCAAGCUCUGCUUGGUGUUGGGCCCUGCCCGCUGCGGCCGGCCCUAAAGACAGUGGCGGUGCCGCCUGGCCCUGAGCGUAGUACAUCUCUCGCUCCAGUGCCCGGUGGUAGCCUGCCAGAACCCCAACUCUCGUGGUUGACCUCGGAUCAGGUAGGGAUACCCGCUGAACUUAAGCAUAUCAAUAAGCGGAGGA